rnacentral:rRNA from 1 species
GACAGAGGAUGCAAGCGUUAUCCGGAAUGAUUGGGCGUAAAGCGUCUGUAGGUGGCUUUUUAAGUCCGCCGUCAAAUCCCAGGGCUCAACCCUGGACAGGCGGUGGAAACUACCAAGCUGGAGUACGGUAGGGGGCAGAGGGAAUUUCCGGUGGAGCGGUGAAAUGCGUAGAGAUGCGGAGGAACACCAGUGGCGAAAGCGACUUUCUGGUCCUUAACUGACGCUGAGGCGCGAAAGCAUGGGGAGCGAACGGG